rnacentral:tRNA from 2 species
GCCCGGGUGGCGAAAUGGUAGACGCAUGGGACUUAAAAUCCCCUGGCCGAAAGGCCGUGCCGGUUCGAGUCCGGCCCCGGGCACCA